rnacentral:rRNA from 1 species
GACAGAGGGUGCAAACGUUGUUCGGAAUCACUGGGCGUAAAGCGUCUGUAGGUGGUUUGCUAAGUCUGCUGUUAAAGCUUGAAGCUCAACUUCAAAAAAUGCAGCAGAAACUAGUAGACUUGAGUAUGGUAGGGGUAGAGGGAAUUUCCAGUGAAGUGGUGAAAUGCGUAGAUAUUGGAAAGACCACCAAUGGCGAAGGCACUCUACUGGGCCAUAACUGACACUGAGAGACGAAAGCUAGGGGAGCAAAUGGG